rnacentral:rRNA from 1 species
UUAAAUUGAAGAGUUUGAUCAUGGCUCAGAUUGAACGCUGGCGGCAGGCCUAACACAUGCAAGUCGAACGGUAACAGGAAUCAGCUUGCUGAUUCGCUGACGAGUGGCGGACGGGUGAGUAAUGUCUGGGAAACUGCCUGAUGGAGGGGGAUAACUACUGGAAACGGUAGCUAAUACCGCAUAACGUCGCAAGACCAAAGAGGGGGACCUUCGGGCCUCUUGCCAUCGGAUGUGCCCAGAUGGGAUUAGCU